GGUUAGUCCGCACGAGCGCAACCCUUGUCUUUAGUUACCAUCAUUCAGUUGGGGACUCUAGAGAGACUGCCGGUGAUAAACCGGAGGAAGGUGGGGAUGACGUCAAAUCAUCAUGCCCCUUAUGGCCUGGGCUACAAACGUAAUACAAUGGCGUAUACAAAGGGAUGCGAAAGGGCGACCUGGAGCAAAACUCACAAAGUACGUCUCAGUUCAGAUUGGAGUCUGCAACUCGACUCCAUGAAGGCGGAAUCGCUAGUAAUCGCGGAUCAGCAUGCCGCGGUGAAUACGUUCUCGGGGUUU
rnacentral:rRNA from 1 species